rfam:Triticum aestivum genome assembly, contig: Triticum_aestivum_CS42_TGACv1_scaffold_433246_5DL
UGUGUACUCCCUCCGUUCGGAAUUACUUGUCACGAAAAUAGAUGUAUCUACAACUAAAAUAUAUCUAGAUACAUCCAUUUUUUGGACGAGUAAUUCUGAACGAAGGGAGUAGUUC